AGCUAAAUAGUUCUGUAACAAAACAAUUCGCCAGAGAACUACUAGCAACAGCUUAAAACUCAAAGGACUUGGCGGUGCUUUAUAUCCCUCUAGAGGAGCCUGUUCUAUAAUCGAUAAACCCCGAUAAACCUCACCAUCCCUUGCUAAUACAGUCUAUAUACCGCCAUCUUCAGCAAACAAAACUUAC
rnacentral:rRNA from 1 species